GAAGUUUGAUCCUGGCUCAAGAUGAACGUUGGUAACAUGUUUAACACAUGCAAGUCGGAUGGGAAGUAGUGUUUCCAGUGGCGGAUGGGUGAGUAGAACUUGCUCUUGGGAGGGAAGCAACAGUUGGAAAUGCCUGCUAAUACCCUAUAGGCUGAGGAGCAAAAGGAGGAAUCCAUUCGAGGAGGGGCUUGCGUCUGAUUAGCAAGUUGGUGAAGCAAUAGCUUACCAAAAGCGAUGAUCAGUAGUUAGUCCAAGAGGAUGAUUAGCAACACGGGACUAAGACACAACCCAGACUCCUACGGGAGGCAGCAGUAUGGAAUUUUCGCAAUGGGCAAAAGCUUGACAGAGCAAUGUCAUAUGGAGGUAGAAGGCCUACGUGUCGUGAACUUCUUUUCUCGGAGAAGAAGCAAUGACAAUAUCUAGUAAAUAAGCAUCGACUAAUUCUGUGCCAAUAACCGUAGUAAUAUAGAGGAUGCAAGUGUUAUCCAGAAUGGUUGGGCGUAAAGCAUCUGUAUGUGGCUUUUCAAGUCUGCCAUCAAAUCCCAAGGCUCAACCCUGGACAGACGGUGGAAAUUGCCAAGCUAGAGUACAGUAGGGGUGGAGGGAAUUUCUGAUGGAGCAGUAAAAUGCAUAGAGAUCUAAAAGAACACCAAUGGCUAAAGCACACCAAUGGUCAACAUUGACAUUGAGAGACGGAAGCUAGGGGAGUGAAUGGGAUUAGAUACUGUAGUAGUCGUAGCCGUAAACGAUGGAUAUUGGGCACUGUGCGUAUCGAUUCGUGCAGUACGGUAGCUAACGCAUUAAGUAUCUCGCUUGGGGAGUACGUUCACAAGAAUGAAACUCAAAGGAAUUGACGGGGGCCCACACAAGCAGUGGAGCAUAUGGUUUAAUUUGAUGCAAAGCAAAGAAUCUUACCAGGGCUUGACAUACCGCGAAUCCUCUUGAAAGAGAAGAGUGCCUUUGGGAACACGGGCACAGGUGGUAGAUGGCCGUCGACAACUCAUGCCUUAAGGUGUUGAGUUAAGUCCCGCAACGGAAACCUUAGUUAUCAACUAAGUGUUGCAUUUUUCAACACUUGUUGAGAUUUUAUUGCCGUGUUGUACCGACUAGAAAUUUUAAUUAGUCCAAUGGGUUCAUAAUAUAUAUAUAUAUAUUUAAUAUGCUUGAGUGUUGAAUAAGCAAUCUACUAUUAUACUCUUUCCAUUUAUUAAUUUCAUUAAUUGAUUAUAAUCGAUCCUUAUAAAUAAGCAUACCAAAUAUACUCAUCAUACUGCGUAUAAAUACAAUUGCUAUAGAGUUAAUAGAAAUUUCUCUUUCAAAUUCCUAUACAAUCCGUAUAUGGUAUCAGAACCAUAGUGCCUAACAGCAAACUGACUGGUGUCGAAUCUGUCAAUUUAAAAUUUACU
rnacentral:rRNA from 1 species